rnacentral:rRNA from 1 species
AGAGAGAGACAUGCGCGCAUAUCAAUAAGCGGAGGAAAAGAAACUAACAAGGAUUCCCUUAGUAACGGCGAGUGAAGCGGGAAGAGCUCAAAUUUGAAAUCUUCAAGGUUUUACCUUGACGAAUUGUAGUUUAAAGAAGUGUUUUCUGCUGAAGUUUUGGUAAAAGUUCUUUGGAAUAGGACAUCAUAGAGGGUGAGAAUCCCGUAUUUGACCAUUAUUUUCAGCUUUGUGAUACACUUUCAAAGAGUCGGAUUGUUUGGGAAUGCAGUCCAAAAUGGGUGGUAAAUUUCAUCUAAAGCUAAAUAUUGGCGAGAGACCGAUAGCGAACAAGUACCGUGAGGGAAAGAUGAAAAGAACUUUGAAAAGAGAGUUAAACAGUACGUGAAAUUGUCAAAAGGGAAGCGUUUGGACACCAGUGUUGUUUUCUCGAAAAUCAAUUAAAAAUGGCUCGAUUUUGUAUUGUUGAGACCUUAAAAGCUCACUGUACAUUUUUCGUGUCUUUUUUAAUGCACUUUUCGUUUAACAAGUCAACAUCAGUUUCUUUUGUUGUAAAAGGGUCAUUGGAAGGUGGCUUUCUUUUCGGAGAAAGUGUUUAUAGCCUUUGGCCUCUGCAAUCGGAGAGACUGAGGUCUGCAGCGUAGACUCUUCGGGGUUAGAUACAUUUGUGCUAAGUUAUAGCUCUUUUAUAGACAACUUGUUGACUAUAAUUAGUCUUGUAGCUUACUCGCUUAUGCUAUUUUACCUACGCUUAGGAUGUUGAGUCGUAGAGCACGCA